rnacentral:rRNA from 1 species
GGAAUAUUGGGCAAUGGACGCAAGUCUGACCCAGCCAUGCCGCGUGCAGGAUGAAGGCCCUAUGGGUUGUAAACUGCUUUUCUACGGGAAGAAACUCCCCGACGUGUCGGGGACCGACGGUAUCGUAGGAAUAAGGAUCGGCUAACUCCGUGCCAGCAGCCGCGGUAAUACGGAGGAUCCAAGCGUUGUCCGGAUUUAUUGGGUUUAAAGGGUGCGUAGGCGGAUAAUUAAGUCAGUGGUGAAAGCCUUC